AUUGAACGCUGGCGGCAGGCCUAACACAUGCAAGUCGAGCGAGCGGCGGACGGGUGAGGAAUGUAUGGGGACUGCCCGAUAGAGGGGGAUAACUACUGGAAACGGUGGCUAAUACCGCAUACUAUAGGAUAACCCAUAGGGGAUUAGCUAGUAGGUGGGGUAAAGGCUCACCUAGGCGACGAUCUCUAGCUGGUCUGAGAGGAUGAUCAUCAACCCUGGGACUGAGACACGGCCCAGACUCCUACGGAGGCCGCAGUGGGGAAUAUUGCGCAAUGGGCGCAAGCCUGAUGCAGCCAUGCCGCGUGUCUGAAGAAGGCCUUAGGCUUGUAAAGUACUUUCAGCGGGGAGGCGUUACCCGCAGAUGAAGCACCGGCUAACUCCGUGCCAGCAGCCGCGGUAAUAC
rnacentral:rRNA from 1 species